rnacentral:lncRNA from 1 species
ACACUCAGGCCUGUGACCACAGAAAAAGUAGCCAGCCCACCAUCCCUAGAUGAUUUUGCAGUCUUUGCACACCAGUGUGGCCAUAGGCUUGUUUUCUCCUGGACUGAGCCUGCAGAUCCUAUGAGCAAGCAUAUGUCCUGUGCUCCACUAGUCCUAGCUGGAUCGUGGACAUAUUACCAUCAUUACAAAUAUCAAUAGUUUGUGAUUACUUCAAACAAUCUGAAGUUGAAGGACCCCAGAUAUCCUUCAAAACAGGAAUCUGCAGGCAGAUGCUGAAACCAUGAAUACAGAGGGACAACUAUGCUCCGGCCCUGAACGCAGGAGAGUUGCUAAAGAAGUUGCUCACAGAGGCGGGAGAGAGCAGGCUACUGGUUUCCUUCAAAAUGGAAUAGGAAACAGAAAACGUGCAUCAUUUCUUCGCACUUGAAUCAGCAACAUGACACAGGACUUUGGCAUCAGACUACUAUCACACCAAAAAAAGAGGCUUCACUUGGAGUGCUGCCACUGGAUGGGGCCUGACUUGUUUAUCCGGAAAGAAGUGACUUCCCUGGGAAGAAGGUUGCAUUUGUGAAAGCUUGUGCAGCAUUUCAAGGCUGCAUUCAGGGGCUCUGACCUCCAGUGUCAGCCUUCCAAGGAGAGAAUGGUAGUGUAAUCAUGACUGGAGAGCAACUGUUCCAGAUAAGAAUAUUUUGGCAGAUUUUAAAAGCAACUAUUACUGGUGUUGAUUGACUUAAAAAUAUUUUAAAAAUAUAACAUGUUAUAAACCUCUUCAAUAUCAAGAGGCAGGAUAUAA